AUUGAACGCUGGCGGCAGGCCUAACACAUGCAAGUCUAGCGGAUGAAGGGAGCUUGCUCCUGGAUUCAGCGGCGGACGGGUGAGUAAUGCCUAGGAAUCUGCCUGGUAGUGGGGGAUAACGUCCGGAAACGGGCGCUAAUACCGCAUACGUCCUGAGGGAGAAAGUGGGGGAUCUUCGGACCUCACGCUAUCAGAUGAGCCUAGGUCGGAUUAGCUAGUUGGUGGGGUAAAGGCCUACCAAGGCGACGAUCCGUAACUGGUCUGAGAGGAUGAUCAGUCACACGGGAACUGAGACACGGCCCAGACCCCUACGGGAGGCCGCAGUGGGGAAUAUUGGAAAAUGGGCGAAAGCCUGAUCCAGCCAUGCCGGGGGUGUGAAAAAGGGUUUCGGUUUGUAAAGCACUUUAAGUUGGGAGGAAGGGCAGUAAGUUAAUACCUUGCUGUUUUGACGUUACCAAAAAAAUAAGCACCGGCUAACUUCGU
rnacentral:rRNA from 1 species